GAGUUGAUUUAAGAAUAAAUUGCUAAUAAAUAGCACAUAAUAGAGACAGAUAUUCAAUUGCGGCCUGGCCUAAGCGUGGCCUGUCGCAAAACCCCUGCUCCAAGCCCCUUUCCCCUCGCACGAUUGGUGUUUGUGUUGUGCGCGAAAUCAAUUACAGCCGCGGGGCCAACGUCGUAACGUGAAAAUCGAUUUCGGUUUUCUCGGCGCUGUGCAAGCAGCUGCGUCACAAAAUGUCCAAGUGCAAUGAUGUUACAGAAAUAGAAAUGGCAUCGCAGACCGCUGGGAAAACAACUGACGACCUUCGUCAUCAUCCCAUUCACCACACAUCAUCCCGGCCACAGGAUUGCGCGAGAAAUAUGUUCCUACUCGUUGCCGUGGUAGCAACAAUGACCACCGGCUGCAGUGCCACGGACACGGACAUUGCGCUUGAUGCGAAGGCCACGUUGAACCAUCGCAUCCAAAGCCUCGAUCUGCUGGUCUUUGUGUUCCUCCUGGCGCUAACAGUCCUCACCAUUUGGCUGUUCAAACACCAUCGCGUCUCCUGGCUGCACGAGACCGGCCUAGCCGUCAUCUACGGCUUGAUUGUGGGUGCCAUUAUACGAUAUGCGGGCAACUCCACUCCUCUGGUCCACAUACAGGUAGAGCCCCAGGGUACACCAUCGUACAGCGAUAAGCUGCCUCCUGAUACGCUUUGGUUUAAGUAUCCCGUUAAUCAGACGAACGGGACAAAGCUGCCGGAGGGCAUUAAGACGUACGCGUAUGUGUUCCGUGGCCAGGUCUACGAUGUGGAUGAGAAUGAAAUUGAUUUAAAGGCCACCUUCGAUCCGGAGGUGUUCUUUAACAUUAUCCUACCGCCAAUUAUAUUCUAUGCGGGCUACAGCUUGAAGAAGAAAUAUUUCUUUCGUAAUUUGGGUGCCAUACUGACAUUUGCCAUUGUGGGUACCACAUUGUCGGCCUUUCUCAUUGGCGGCUUCAUGUACGGCUGUGUGAAACUGAUGCCAAAGUACUUGAGUAGCAGUUUCACAUUCCUGGACACUCUCUAUUUUGGAGCCCUCAUUUCGCCCACAGAUCCGCUCACCAUUCUAGCCAUAUUCAAUGAUCUUCGGGUCGAUGUUAAUCUCUAUGCGCUAGUUCUGGGCGAAUCUGUGUUGAACGAUGCGGUGGCCAUUGUCCUCAGCGGAGCUAUUCAAAAUUAUGGCGAACAUUACUCCAAUACGGGGGAGUUUGAGACCACAGCUUUUUUGCGUGCAAUGAGCGAUUUCUUUUCCAUAUUCUUCCUGUCGCUGCUGAUUGGUGCAGCCAUGGGCUGUUUUACGGCUUUGUUGACCAAGUUUACGCGCGUACGCGACUUCCCCCUCCUGGAGUCUGCGCUCUUUGUGCUGAUGAGCUACAGCACCUUUCUGCUCGCCGAGGCCACAGAGCUGACGGGUGUGGUGGCCGUUCUUUUCUGCGGCAUCUGUCAGGCGCACUACACGUACAACAAUCUGUCCGAGGAUUCACGGCAACGCACCAAACAGAUCUUUGAGUUGCUUAAUUUUCUGGCCGAGAACUUUAUCUUCUCCUACAUUGGCGUGUCGAUGUUCACGUUCCCCAAACAUCACUUUGAUGCUGGUUUCAUCAUUACCGCUUUCAUCUGCGCGGCCUUGGGACGGGCCGUGAAUGUGUAUCCCUUGUCCUGGUUGCUCAACAUCAGGCGGAAGCCAAAAAUCUCAUCCAAUUUCCAGCAUUUGCUCUUCUUUGCGGGCUUACGUGGUGCCAUGUCUUUUGCCUUGGCCAUACGGAAUACGGUUUCGGAUGCACGACAGACCAUGUUGACAGCCACAUCGUUGAUUGUCAUCUUUACGGUCAUUAUACAGGGCGGGGCAGCCAAUUUUCUGCUCAAUUGGUUGAAAAUACCUGUUGGCGUUGACGAUGAGACUGAACAAUUAAAUAAUUACCAAGUGCACAGUGUAUACAAUUCCAUGGACAAUUCACAUCCGCAGACGUCUGAUGGUUAUUUGCAGGACGUGGAAAGCGGUGGCGGAGGUCGUGGCAAAAUGCGUUUGUCUGGCGGCGGCACGGAGUCCAAUGUGGACACGCCCGUGGACGGGCCGAAUGGAAGUCUGGGCAGCACAGGCGGCAGCGUCAACGGCGGACGUCGUCGCAAUAGUCACGAGAAAGCCAUACUGGCCAGGAUCUGGGGUAGCUUCGACACGAAGUACAUGAAGCCCCUGCUGACGCAUUCGCGGCCCACGCUGCUGGAGACGCUGCCCGUUUGCUGUAAUCCCAUUGCCAGGCUGCUCACCACCACGCAGCAGCUAACACAGGAUGGCAGCGAGUUCAGGCGCGUUGACUCCGACUCGGAUAUAUGCAUAGACAACGAUACUGGGAAUGGUCUCAGCCAGGAUGGCCUGGCCGGAGCUGCAGUUGCAGCUGGUGCCCCGUUGGGGCGGCGCAACUCAUUAAGUCGCACAAUCCAAUUGAAUGAAUCCAAUCGCAUUGCAAACGAACUCACUCUUGUCACGAAUAAUUUCAUGUAAAAUUGGAGAUCUCGAAAGAACAACUUUCUUCCUAUAAUUUACUUACUAUUUAUUCUAUGCUAUUCUUAGUCUGUUUUGUUUUUUAUUUUGUCUACUUUUCCUAGCCGAUAAACCAUGUCUGUCUGUCCAUGAUAUAAAUCUACUCUAUAACCGUUUAACAAAGGCUUCCUAUAGCUCACAGCAACUGAUCAAAUGUUCUUUGGUAUCUUAAACUUUUAAUUUCUGUAUUUAUUUCUCGUAAUCGAAUUUCUUAGAUUCUAACACGCGACUAACCAUGCCCCAGGCGAUGAUCAUCGAAAUGUUUAUAUAUAAGUUUUUCGUUUCUUUGGUUGUUAUUUAUUGUAAUCGGGUCUCAUUGCAAACAUGUACAAAUUAGUUAAUUACUCUUCAGUUUAUGCUCUUUUACGAAAUGUUGUGAUUCGGAACCCUAGUUUUAAACAAGAAUAAAACACACACAAAGUUUGUUAAUUUAUCAAGAAA